rnacentral:rRNA from 1 species
AGUAAAGAUUUUAAGGGCGUACGGUGGAUGCCUUGGCGAUAUCAGCCGAAGAAGGACGCGGUAAGCUGCGAUAAGCUACGGAGAGGUGCAAGCAACCUUUGACCCGUAGAUUUCCGAAUGGGGGAACCCGGCAGUGGUUAUGCACUGUCACCCAUACCUUUGAGUAUGAGGAGGGCACCUGGGGAACUGAAACAUCUAAUUACCCAGAGGAAAAGUAAUCAAACGAGAUUUUCUUAGUAGCGGCGAGCGAACGGGAAAGAGGCCAAACCGGAGCGGGCAACCGCACCGGGGUUGAGGACAGUCAUCAAGUGUAAAUGAGGUAGAAGAAUCGAGUUGGAAAGCUCAGCCGAAGAAGGUGAAAGCCCUGUAAUCGAAACCUUGCAUACAUGGGACUGUAUCCAGAGUACCACGAGACACGUGAAACCUUGUGGGAAGCAGGGGGGACCACCCUCCAAGCCAAAAUACUGAUAUCGACCGAUAGCGCAUAGUACCGUGAGGGAAAGGUGAAAAGAACCCCUGGCGGGGAGUGAAAGAGAACCUGAAACCGUAUGUCUACAAACAGUCGAAGUCUGUAUAUAUAUCAGGACGACGGCGUGCCUAUUGAAGAAUGAACCGACGAGUUACUGUUGCUAGCGAGGUUAAGUGGAAAACACGGAGCCGCAGCGAAAGCGAGUCUGAACAGGGCGUUUAGUUAGUAAUAGUAGACCCGAAACCGUAGUGAUCUAUCCAUGGCCAGGUUGAAGCACAGGUAAAAUUGUGUGGAGGACCGAACUCGUGAGCGUUGAAAAGCUUUGGGAUGAGUUGUGGAUAGGGGUGAAAUGCCAAUCGAACACGGAGAUAGCUGGUUCUCCCCGAAAUAGCUUUAGGGCUAGCCUCGAGGUUGAGAGUAUAGGCGGUAGAGCACUGAUCGGGCUAGGGGCCAUACCGGUUACCGAACCUAGUCAAACUACGAAUGGCUAUACUUAUACUCGGGAGUCAGACAGUGAAUGAUAAGGUCCAUUGUCAAGAGGGAAACAGCCCAGAACACCGACUAAGGUCCCAAAUGUUACACUAAGUGGCGAAGGAUGUGGAAUUUCCAAAACAACCAGGAUGUUGGCUUAGAAGCAGCCACCAUUUAAAGAGUGCGUAAUAGCUCACUGGUCGAGAGACUCUGCGCCGAAAAUGUCCGGGGCUAAAGUGUAAAACCGAAGUCGUGUCAUAUGCAGCAAUGUAUAUGGGUAGGGGAGCGUUCUCAUUGGGUUGAAGCAGUACCGUAAGGAGUUGUGGACUGAUGAGAAGUGAGAAUGUCGGUAUGAGUAGCGAAAAGAAUGGUGAGAAUCCAUUCCACCGAAAGCCUAAGGGUUCCUGAGCAACGAUCGUCGUCUCAGGGUAAGUCGGGACCUAAGCCGAGGCGGAAAAGCGUAGGCGAUGGACAACAGGUUGAAAUUCCUGUACCGGUGUGAAUCGUUUGAUCGAUGGAGUGACACAGUAAGGUAGGUCAGCACGCGAUUGGAAGUGCGUGUUUAAGCAUGUAGGUUGAGCUAUAGGCAAAUCCGUAGCUCUGAAAGCUGAGAUGUGAUGACGAGUUACUAGCGAUAGUAACGAAGUGAUUGAUCCUACACUGUCGAGAAAAGCUUCUAGGUAGAGACACAUCGCCCGUACCAAAACCGACACAGGUAGGCGGGGAGAGAAUCCUAAGGUGCGCGGGAAAACCCUCGUUAAGGAACUCGGCAAAAUGCCUCC